CUGGACGCAACAGCCGCGGUGACAGGACGCGCGUGGCGGCGGGAGACGUCUCAGGUCUGGGGGAGCCAUGGCUAGCCCCAACCCGUUUCUCUCUCAAACCUGGAACUGCUACUUUGGUCCAUCUCUUCCUCUUGCUCAACAGCUGAAGCACACACAACCAGUGCAGAACCGUUCUGCCAGAACGCCUGCCUAACCUCGCCAUAUUUGGCCCUCUCAAGAAGACUUGUUUUCUCUAUGCCUACAAGGUGGUUGAUGAAAUUCCAAGAAGGAUCUGGGGAUGGAUUGAUCUAGACAAGCCAUGUGAUUUACAGCCAGCUUCAAAUCAUCAGCAACUUCCCAGGUAUAAUGGUUCCAGAGUUCUUCUAUUCUUGUUAAUCGGCGGUGGCAGUAGGUGGAUCACGGUGGCUUCAUUUGAUGGACGGCGGUGGCCGCCAAGCAACCGGCAGUUGGUACAAGCUCGUGUUGUCAUGGUAGCGCAGCGUGGCCGCAUCAUUGAGAUUUUGAUAUGGACCUGCUGACACUUUGGUUUUUACCAGGAAAAGAGAAUCAAGAAGAGAGCAACAAUAGUUCUGGCUUCAUGCCCUCUUUGGGACAAGAGGGCGAGGAUGCUGUUAACACAGAAAACAAAGAGGAAUAUCAAUGUGUGGAGGAAGCUUCAUCACCACCGUCCCUCGCUUUUGAAUUUGUGAUUUUCAGCUCCUUUUGAAUUUCAAUUAUAACUAUUAAAGGCUAAUUUUAUUUCAGGGAGUGAAGCAUCAGUGUAAACCCAUUAUUGAAGUGGUCAUGGCUACGGAAGCUAGCCUGCACUUGAUCUCCAGAUUAUGUUGGAGGUUGCUAGCAGGAAAGAUUGUUAUCGUUCGAUCGCGUUUUGGUGGUUUACAGAGGAUGUGCACAGGGAAGGCGGCUUUCGCUGGUGUGUGGUCAUAAUAUACUACUGGUGUUUCAGAUCUUCACAGUUUGAGCACUCAGAAAGCAAAGUACCAACAGGGGACGUUGUAUUCUUCGAAGGUAUGGUCCGUGAGGCAAUCAACAAUAAAUCAGCUGAUCAAAAGAGAGGAAAGACAAUCACGGUCUCUGAGUGGAUCAUCUCACGAUACAUCACUAAAAAGGCUAGGUGCAUAUGUAAUGGAUAUUCUGGCUCGGAUCUAUUAUUCAUGCCACAGUGGGGUGAUCUUCUCUCGAUCCUCUAGCGUAAGCACGGUGAAGUAGAAAAUUGGCGUGAAAUGGAGGAUGGCUUUAGUUUGUCAGUUUUUUCAUUCCGAUGUAAUUUAUUUAUCGACAGCUUCUUGGCCAAUAUAUUUCCAAAUUAAUACAUUAAGUGGUUUUAUUGUUUACAGGGAACCUGGUUCUUUUCCUUGGCCCAAUUGUGUUGUGUUUGCUUAGCUGAUCAUAGCUCUGCAAAACUAGACCAAAUAUAGUUUGCAAGGUAGGGUGGAUUAGUGUAAUGCAAUUUUGUUGUCGAGGUAAUGGCUCAUACUACCAUAGCUUUAUGAAACGACUGCCCUGUGGCAGUAGGAUGAAAUGCACCAGUAUGAAGCUGGGCCUAACCAUGUUGUAUGUUCUUUCUAGGAGAUCAAAACAUGCUUCUUUUUUGCCCUGCCUACAUCUUGAUGUGGGUAAUGCUACUUUUCUUGGGCCGUGAUAUUACUAUUAGCCUAAGGAUCGUUUGGCAAAAAAUCAUAUCAGCCUUCUCUCUAAUAAGUAAACUUAAUAAUAUGUUAUAGCCUUCUCUCUAAUAAGUAAACUUAAUAAUAUGUUAUAGCGCAUCAUUACCAUAUAGAGCAAUGUGACUUGACAAGUGGAUGUUGUAAUUCCUGUUUGCAUAGAAUGGGAGUUGAGGGUUGAGUUGUGCAAUAUUUGGCUAUGGUUAUUCUAUUACAAGUGCAUAGAGAUGUGGAUCUGUAUUGAUUAGUAAUCUUCCAAGUUCAUAAGGUGUUGUAAAACUGUGGUUCUCUUAUGAAUUAAGGUUUUUCACUGGUGCCUCGGCUACAAAAAGUUAUAUACUUUGAUCGAGACCAGCAAUUACUUUGGUAUGUCCUGCCAAGGCAUAAUAAUAGAGCAGGUGGUAAAACCUCACCCAUUCCUCAAUUAAUUUGUUCCUACAGCUAAGGAAGAUGAUAGUGUUUGCUAUAUGUACGUAUAGAUCUCUAGGCACCCCUUUGGUUUAAAACUUAAAUUUACCCAAAAAAUUCUUCGAAAGAAUACAUGCUUCCCUUUUUAGUCAUCCUAUAUGUAGUUGCCAGCUAUUGGUGCAAUAAUGGAACAUGAUUCAUGCUGAUUAUUGUGACCAAGAAAGUGGGCAGAAAUGUUUUAUGUUAUUAGUUAUUGUUUAGUUUCAGCCUCAUUGUGGAGGAAGAUGUCGCGGCAAUGUGGAGACUAGGCGGACUGAAGUGGUCGUCGACUUGCCUCUAUUAGAGUUUUCUUUUCCUAUUUAUGGCCUUAACAUGAAUUCAUAAGAGUGUUUUUAACGGUAUUUAAUCAAACUUAUCAGUAUUUAUUUUGCUGCAGGUGUUACCUUCUCGACAAAGGGCAGAAAAGGAUAUUUAUGGCAUUAAUAUGAAUUUUUGUGGUGUAUAUGAAUCAUGAGAUAUGAAGGAGCAAGGAUUGAGGACAUGUAGAUGCAACUUCUGGAGCAUCUUGUUGAUGAAGGUUUCAUAACAUGGUAUCAAAGACGUAGAGGAACAGAGCCACUUAACGCCAUGUUGGUCUCCUGAAGGAAUAGCUGGGGCCCAGGUAAAGGAGGAGGGUUGUGUUAGGCUUGGCGACCCAACGUAAAAACCAAUCAUUCUUAUGGAUAUGAAACCCUUGUUUUGAAUAGGUAUCGAGCGCCUAGGGCAUGUUCCGCAAUCUCUG